AUGGAUCAGCCAUGGAGCAGCCAUGGAGCAGCCACAGAGCAGACGUGGAGCAGACACGGAGCAGCCACAGAGCAGACGUGGAGCAGCCAUAGAUCAGCCAUAGAUCAGCCAUGGAUCAGCCAUGGAUCAGCCAUGGAGCAGCCACGGAGCAGACAUGGAGCAGAUGUGGAGCCCCUGUGGAGCAGCUGUGGAUCAGCCAUGGAGCAGUCACGGAGCAGACAUGGAUCAGCCAUGGAUCAGCCAUGGAUCAGCCAUGGAGCAGCCACGGAGCAGACAUGGAGCAGAUGUGGAGCCCCUGUGGAGCAGCUGUGGAUCAGCCAUGGAGCAGCCACGGAACAGCCACGGAACAGCCAUGGAGCAGCCACGGAUCAGCCAUGGAUCAGCCAUGGAGCAGCCAUGGAGCAGCCACAGAGCAGACGUGGAGCAGCCAUAGAUCAGCCACGGAGCAGCCACAGAGCAGCCACGGAGCAGACAUGGAGCAGAUGUGGAGCUCCUGUGGAGCAGCUGUGGAUCAGCCACAGAGCAGCCAUGGAGCAGCCAUGGAGCAGCCAUGGAGCAGCCACAGAGCAGACGUGGAGCAGACGUGGAGCAGCCACGGAACAGCCACGGAACAGCCAUGGAGCAGCCACGGAUCAGCCAUGGAUCAGCCAUGGAGCAGCCAUGGAGCAGCCACAGAGCAGACGUGGAGCAGCCAUAGAUCAGCCACGGAGCAGCCACGGAGCAGCCACGGAGCAGACAUGGAGCAGAUGUGGAGCUCCUGUGGAGCAGCUGUGGAUCAGCCACAGAGCAGCCAUGGAGCAGCCGUGGAGCAGCCACGGAGCAGCCACGGAUAAGCCACGGAACAGCCGUGGAGCAGAUGUGGAUCAGCCAGGGAUCAGCCACGGAUCAGCCGUGGAGCAGCCACGGAGCAGCCACGGAGGAGUUUCUCCCUCCAGAGAUCCCCAAGCAGCUCCAAACCUCCCCUUGGCACUGCUGGCACUGGGAAUCCACCAGGCAAACGCUGAUCCAGAUCCCUGGAGUGGGAGAGAUCCCGAGAUGGUCCCAGUGGGUGCUGGGAGUGGCACCUGUGGGAAGGGGGAGAUGUGUCCUCCUGUCCGGGUGUUACUAAAAACAGCUCCUGGCAUAGUCAAACCCAGGGGUUAUUUGGUUCAGCGAUUUCCUCCUUUGUCUGGCCGAGUGUUUGCCCUCCUCUCCCUGAAACUCUGA
rnacentral:lncRNA from 1 species